UUGACAAGGUGGUACUUGUCUGAUGGUUGGACUUGAUGACCUUGGAGUCAUUUCCAGCCUUGGUGAUUCUGUGAUUCUCUGAUCCUCUACAGACUGCUGCCCAUGAUUACCUGAACGCUCUCCAGCUCCUGGUCGUGGAAGGUCCCCAGCACGGAUGGAUCAUGGAUAUGCUGUUUCACUUCAUUCCUUGCAACACUUAAACAAAUAUAGAAAAUUAAUAGAAUUGUCAAGACACUGGAAAAAAGCAACACUUGAAAGAGAAUUUUUACAAAUUGAUGAGCUGAGAGCUGAGCUGGUACCAGUAGAGUGGGAUCAAUCUGGAUUUCCACGUUUUUCGACCAUCUUUUAGACUGUUUCCUCAUGUUACAUGAGCCAGAGGGAGCCUGGAACUACACACAACUCGUUGUCAAAGAAACUUGCACCAUCACAAGGCAUCAGCUCUGUUCUCCAGAGACCAAAUCUCCAGACAAUCAGCCCAUUUUUACAGUGUGGAAGCUAAUUUUUGCAGCCUAGAAGCCAACCAAACAAAACAAGUCCUGCUGCUUCAGACAUGACAUCUUUCAGAUAGGAGAAAGAUUGAUUCCAGAAAUCUAUGAGCCUCCAAAACCACCACAGUGGGAUGAUACCCCACUUAUCCUCUGUUUCUGAUGGCACGGAGGAAAGCAGCUCUGUCCUCUUGCUGAGAAGGCACAGCAGCCUCACUUCUGACUCAACAAUCUUGGAUAGACAGCAGGUGACAACCCAGUGCCGAGGACACCUGGUCCAGCACAGCCAUUCCUCCUCAAACAGGUGGGAAUUCCCAAGCUUGGACAUCCUGCCCCACCAGAAGCUUUGGCCAUGGGACACACCCUCAGGUCUGUGCUGUCUUCACAGAGCCACUGAUGUGGAUGCCAGUCAUGAAACCACUUCUCUUGCCCACCCCCACCUGGCAGAAUAAAGCUGAGGGUCCAGGGCUGCAACAGAGGUGUUAACAAAACAUCAGUGAAACCAGUGGGACCAGUGCUAAACCCAGAGCCCAGAGCAAUACUUCAAGUGAGAGAAGCCAACAUGAUGAAUUGGGAUAGUGGGCAAUGCUGGACCUCAGCUCUUCCCUUGCUCCCCUCCCCUCAUAUUUAUAGGUUUCUAAUUUCCGCUGGAUAAUGAAUAUCGCUCUUCAUUAUAAUUAUGUUAAAAGGUACCAGCGUGAUGAUUCAGAAACCCUUGAAGAUAUAGUCAUAUUUUCAGCAACAGAUGGAUUUAACACUGCAGAUGGAGUGUUAAGAGUGCAGGUAAUAACAAACUCAGCAAUGUACUGUACUGAAAUAUAAUUGGAAAGUAUUAAUCAUAUAUUGGUUACUUCAGCUUCACUAAGUAGAUGUUUAAUUUUCAUCAAUCUUUUUACCAGAUUCCCGGAAAGAUUUCUGUGCAGACAGAGUGUGGCUUUAGGUGAAGCCAUUGCCCAAGUUAUUAAUGACUGAGACCUUGAUCUUGCAGGCAUGUGCCCAUGGCUUACCCAGGCAUGCAGAAUAAAAAUCAUUUGUGUUAAUAAGGCUGUCAGAGGGCCCUCAUUCAUAUGGCUGAAGUUUCAGCUGGUGACCAGUCAGUGGGAAAGCCCAGACCCUUCCCUUCAUGGGGGCUGCUGGAAAUCUGCCAGCAGGAACGGCUGCCUGCAGGAUUUGGGGUAGAACACAGCAAUUUGAAAAGCUUCACUUACAGGAGUGAACCAUCAGUCUAAGCCUUUGCAGGACUGGGAGUUAGAAUGUACACAAAAUGGGAGGGCAGUGCCAUUCCUCAUUAUUUUCUUUAAGUACAGACUUUUGAAUUAUCUGCAUAUUGAAUUAUCUGCAUACAGAGAAAUGUCUGCUGUUAUUCCCAUAAACCCUGUCAUCUUGCUGGGAUUUUUUAAUGCACUUCUUCAGAGAGGUUGUGUUUGAAGUCUGGAUUAUUCAGGGGAGUUUUUGCUCUGAGCAGACCAUGCAGGACCAGAGUAAUCAGUGAUGCCUGGUUGCAUGCCACGACUCUGAUUCUUUAAUUAAUGCUAUUUAUAACUAGGAUAUUAUUUGUAGGAUCGCAAAGUGGUCCCUGCUCCAGUGUGCCACCUGGGGACUCAGGGAAUGGGGAGUGUGGUAGGGCACAAUUCCAGCUCAUGCAAAAAUCCAUUUUAGACCAGGAAUAUAAAACAGGGCUUUGGUGACAAGAGAAACAUUAUUCUUUUGAAUAUGUUUUUUGUGCAUGGUUUAUGUUCACAUCCUUUUCAGUGGGUUCAGGCAUUUGGUGAGGCUGCAUCUCCACUGAUUUCCUUAGGAGGUUUUCUUUCCCUGGUGGGAGUGCACAGCCAUGGUGUUCCAUGAUGACCAUGGACUGACCAGAUGGACUGUUGUAAACAACAACAUAAGCAUUCAACACCUAAAUUUUAAGUUCCAUGAAAUACUUUGCCCAAAUGUUGCAGUCUUUUGCUGAACUAUUUAGAUUUUAGCUGUCCAUGAACCUUGAAAAUGUAAUGAAAACCUGGAAUUUUCUCUAGAAAAUCGACUCUCACAAGACAAUACAGUAUCUUUAUCUUGGCUGAUAAGAAAAAAGAAGAUCAGGUAAUAAAAUUCAACAUGACUGGAAAUAAAAUUGAGCAUGACUAGAAACCACAGGUGAGCGUGUUUAAUAAUGUGAAAUGAGUGUGCUGCCUCCUUCCUGACAGGCUUUUGUACUCCACAGAGAUACAAACAGGUACUGAUCGAUUGACUGUGGUAAUCAAAUAAAGCUGUGAGUAUAAAUGACUCUAAAUAUGAAGUCUCCUUAGGGGUACCAGUUGAGAUGACUUGUCUGUACCUCAGACCCCACACUGCUCAUGUGGGGAGAGGGACCUUGUUGCUAGACUGUGAAGAUAAGUAGUAUUUCUGUUUAAUUUUCAUUUACAUCUUGAAAUAAACUAUCCCUUGCCUUCCUUCCUGUGCUGUCUGUAUUCCAUGGACAAGCAGUGAGCCCUGGAGCUGCAGCAGGGAUUGCAGGCAGGGCUGGAUGUGUGCAGGAAGGAGCAGCCAGGAUCACCCUGAGUGUGCAGUGGAAGCCGAAGGUGUCGCACGGAGCUGACGAAUGUGGCUCCCCAGGCUCUGACUCGAGGGGUGACACAAAGGACAUGAGUCAUGGUGCAUCAGUUUUCCAAUCUGGAGAUAUUUCUCCCAUGUGCCAACUGGUAGGGUGGACUUUUCAUCUUACUGGCAAUGUUUGAACCCUCCUUCUCUGUUUUUUUUCCCUUCCUCACUUACGAGAAUUAAUUGAAUCAAAAAUAACGUAAAUUGUCAGGUGUCUCAGUUUUGAUUUAAAUAGUGUCUUUUAAAACUUGUUCUGCAUUUGUGGCACAGAGUUGUGUUGCUUGGGAGAGGUUCAGUCUCAGUUUUCACCAGCAGGACAGCACAUUUGGUACCCGUUUGUGAGGAACAGGUGGGUAAAGCACUGCAUUUACACAUAAUAAUAUAACUUAAUACAUAUUAAGAAGCUGUCUAGGUCUGUAGAGGAGAUACUGGGAGGCAAAAGAUUCCUUUUAAUAAAUCAUCUCAUACUUUGCUCUAAAAGGCUCAAACUUCAGCUCAACCAAAGAGCAUUGAGCAAAGGGGUGUAACUCAAAUCACUGGUACCUGUGUAAGCUGGAGAGCCUCUGUUCCUUCCCCAUUGUCAGCAGGACUUCCACAUGUUCCUGUGUGCCCUACAUCAUCUCAGGAUAUGCUGCUUGGUCUUUCCAGUUAAAGUGAUGAUGUUUUUAAUUUGUGAUUCAUGACAGAGUGCUUCAGAUGAAAAUCAUUAUUCAAGCAAAAUCAUGAACACAUGCUUUAUGAAGGCAUUUUAUUUUCUAGCUCAGACUGUGUGAAGUUUGCUGGAUGUAUCAGAAAAUAAAGGUAAAUAUCUUGUUUUUCAAAACUUGAUAAAUUAUUGACAAAGUAAAAAUGCCCUGAGUUAAUCAAUCUGAUGUUUUUUCCACCAUUUGUCCCUGGAGGAUUUAGAUGUAGUGGAUCGUGCUUUAGUGCUGGUCUGCUCUCAUCAUUUGCAAGAGCGAAAAUAAACAUUCCUGCCUCUCAGCUCCUCAUCAGUGUCUGAACUGGAAUGAAUCAGCUAUUGAGCUGAAGGAAAUGAAAUAUAAAUUGACAUGAAGAAAAUGUUCUCCCUGCAGCUGCAGAAGCAGCUAUGGUUGUCAAAAGCUGAUUUUUAUCCUUUCAAAGACCAGU